UACGGUAGGGUGCAAGCGUUAAUCGGAAUUACUGGGCGUAAAGCGUACGCAGGCGGCUUUGCAAGACAGGUGUGAAAUCCCCGGGCCUAACCUGGGAACUGCAUCUGUGACUGCAUAGCUAGAGUACGGUAGAGGGGGAUGGAAUUCCGCGUGUAGCAGUGAAAUGCGUAGAUAUCUGGAGGAACACCGGUGGCGAAGGCGGCGUCCUGGACCAACACUGACACUGAUGAGCGAAAGCGUGGGGAGCGAACGAGG
rnacentral:rRNA from 1 species